rnacentral:rRNA from 1 species
CCUACGGGAGGCAGCAGUGAGGAAUAUUGGUCAAUGGGCGGAAGCCUGAACCAGCCAAGUAGCGUGCAGGAUGACGGCCCUACGGGUUGUAAACUGCUUUUAUACGGGAAUAACGCGCCUUACGUGUACGGCUUUGCAUGUACUUUAUGAAUAAGGACCGGCUAAUUCCGUGCCAGCAGCCGCGGUAAUACGGAGGGUCCAGGCGUUAUCCGGAUUUAUUGGGUUUAAAGGGUGCGUAGGCGGCAUGAUAAGCUAGAUGUGAAAUGUCCGGGCUAAACCCGGGCAUUGCCGCUAGAACUGGUGUGCUUGAGACCGCGUACAGCAGGCGGAAUUCGUGGUGUAGCGGUGAAAUGCUUAGAGAUGAUGAAGAACCCCGAUUGCGAAGGCAGCUUGC